GCGGCCGCGCGAGCCUUGGCAGCCUGGGGUUCCGGGAGCGGAGCGCCGCGAGCGUGGGAAGCGCGGGCGAGCUCCGAAAGGCCCGGCCAGACGCUGCCGGCCCUGCGUGGCGCCCCCGUGAGGGCUCGCGCGUGGACACCGAAUGGGCUCCGUCGCAAGUGCUGGAGACAGGUUAUCCGCCCCAGGCCCGGAGCCGCAAGGUCCUUGUCUGUAAAACGAGACCCGAAGAACCCACCCCAUCGGCCUAGCCGCCUCCAGGCCGACUUCGCCCUACUCCUUGCCUCGUCUUGCUCCCGGGGAGGUCGCGGGAAGACGCGGGGCCCAGGAAGCGCGAGCAAAUGGACCUUCACAGAAGAUGCCAGUCGAGCUUGAGUGUGCCUCAUGAAACCCAGCUCGUGGCUGCAAGCGAAGGGAAGGGAUGGGUGUCAGAGGUGACGAGAUCAAAUGCUGGAGAAAACAAAACCUCUGCAUGGUGAAACCUGCGUAUAAUACACCUGCGUACUGGACAUGAAGAGCUACCCAGUGUACAGCAGCCGCCAGUGAGGGAGAAGGAGGUCACAGGCCAACCGAGGAGCCUGCAGCGAACAGCUACCUUAAAUGGUCAAACAAUGCAGAAGAGUAGUCUCGCUUUUGUUUCCAUGGGUAUUGCUGUGCACUUCCCAGCAGCCCCCUCCAUAGCACCAUUGCUUUGCCUGCUGCUUCUGGACACCCUGGACUCCAGCUGAGUGCUACAGUGUUGUGUGCUGUCAUACUGUACUGGAAGGAAGCAACAGCAUCUCUGUGACAGCGUCUGACAGAUGCUGUUCUGGCCACUUGUGUGAUCCAUUCACAUCUAGAAAUGUUCCUACUCCUCCCCUGACUCUCUGCUUCCUGACUGCUACGAGGUGAACAGGUCCUCUUGCAAGGCCCUCUGCCAUGUCACCCUGCCUCAGAGCCAGGAGGCUAUGAAUUGAAACCUCUCCAAACUAUGAGUUAAAAUAAGGCUUCAGGUUGGGGAUAUCAGGCCAUGCUAAGGUGAAAGGGAGCAAAGGUCACACACUGCUGGAUGUUCUACAUCUAGCAACUACUCCAGAUGGUGCAUAUCCAGAUUAUAUUACCCUGGAAUCCUACAGAAAUAAUGAAGAUUUCAUGUAUGCAUACUGCUUUUAUUGGGACUAAUCUGCAUUUGAAAAU